UUCCACACGUACCCAUCCCGAACACGACCGUUAAGCCCUCCAGCGCCGAUGGUACUUGGACCGCAGGGUCCUGGGAGAGUAGGACGCCGCCAAGC
rnacentral:rRNA from 2 species